UUACUUUUCGGCAGCACAUAUACUAAAAUUGGAACGAUACAGAGAAGAUUAGCAUGGCCCACUCUCUUUUAAGGAAGUUUUCUCCUGCUAUU
rnacentral:snRNA from 1 species